CGCGGGGUGGAGCAGCCUGGUAGCUCGUCGGGCUBBBAAGGUCGUCGGUUCAAAUCCGGCCCCCGCAACCA
rnacentral:tRNA from 1 species